rnacentral:lncRNA from 13 species
UCUUGAUUGAUAAAGAAACCACUCCUACUCAAGAACAAAAAUCCAAACAAAAACUCCGAGGUGGCAAAAUGAUAUAUCCCAAAGGUAAUAUCUAUUAAUGUAAAGGUAAGCUGACUGUUUUCUCACAAAG